rnacentral:lncRNA from 1 species
GAAAUUUGUUUCUUUAGCAAUUUUUUCCUAUAGAACUUAUAUUUAAAUCUUUGUUUCUAUUUUUUAUCUAUUUUUUGAGAUAUGUCAAGCUGCUAUAACGAUGAUGGUAUAAGAGUGAUGUAAACGAUGGCAUCGACGUAGACAAGAGCAACAGUGACGUAUAUGCUAUCUAUGUGCUUCAGAUCUUGUAUCAUUAGACGAGAAAUCAAGUGUGUUCUCUUCUCAUGUGUCUUCUUGCCUGUCUUUCAUCGUAUACCCCACCG